rnacentral:rRNA from 1 species
UACGUAGGGGGCAAGCGUUGUCCGGAAUCAUUGGGCGUAAAGCGCGUGUAGGCGGCCCGAUAAGUCCGCUGUGAAAGUCCAGGGCUCAACCCUGGGAUGCCGGUCGAUACUGCCGGACUAGAGUUCGGAAGAGGCGAGUGGAAUUCCCGGUGUAGCGGUGAAAUGCGCAGAUAUCAGGAGGAACACCUAUUGCGAAGGCAGCUCGCUGGGACGUAACUGACGCUGAGACGCGAAAGCGUGGGGAGCAAACAGG